GGAGGGAGAGACCGGGGAGGGCGUCCGGACGAGCAGCGAAGCAGCACGGGGUGUGACCGGCCAAAACAGGAUACUUUAUACUUUCUUUUCUAAGAUAUAUUUCCCGUAUAACAGCUUAAGCGUUGUCACCGCUGAGCAUGAAACACCCGCAUGCGACAGUGUAGCCGCGGAGAACUUGGGCUCAGGGCUAUCGUCGAAACCUCUGGAAUUGUCAGGAGAAAUUCCCUGACAGUUUAAGGUGUGGCUGUACGCGUUGAAUAACCUUACCAAAAAAGUGUUGAUCGUGGGAGAAUGCCCGUCAAGGGCUGGGCCCCCUUCUUGUGAGACCAGCAAACUGGCAUUUAGGCGUUCGCUCAUUUUCUUUUACAUCUUACAUAACAAAAUGCCACCUCGAACGCUCGCUUCCUUUCGGCUUCAACCGCGCCUCGCAUGCUAAUGAAAUAAAAUACACUACAGUAUCGGGGUUGAAUGCUUUUGAGUGCGCCUUGUAGGGUUUAACAAGGCCUCCAGGAUGUAACGGACGUGGCAACUUUACAGUAGACAGCCGCCACAGGCCAACUGGGCGUGGGGAAGAACCGGCCCGAACACUCCUAAUAAUCCUAAUAUGUCAUUUGCUGUCAUAGCGGCUAACUGUCUGGGUGGAAGCAGUGGAUUUACCUGAACUAAAGUAAGUGUGACAAUCCCUUUUGAAAACUUUGCAAACAGAAACAGCCAUCAGCUGGUUUAUCUUUUAUCUUAACAUUUAUCAUUGACCAUAUACCAAUGUGACACAUGAAAUUAUAAUCAUAUGUAUGAUUGAGUCUGCAGGAAUGUAUUGGUGGCGGCUAAAGCUAAAACCACAAGUAUUUAAUGCCAUGGAGGUGAAAUCUCAAUCAUAAUUCAGUGCUCAGGCAUAUAAUGACCUCGCAUGGUCUAAAUAAGAUAAGCGUUUAAUCAAGAGGAAAGCAGAUUGAGUGAAUUCUUCAAGGCCCCACCCUUUGCAGCUCAACAUGGUGUGGAGAGUUGCCCCUCCUCCUCCUCUCCCUCCACUCAUUUCUUUCUCCCUUCAAGCUUGCAUCCCCCCCCCCCCCCCCACCCCCACCCGACACUGCCUCAGUAUCUCCAGGUACCUACUAUACACUCAUCUGUACCACCAUAAGAGCAAGACCUACUUCCAGGAGUCUCCGAGGUGAUGGAUGUAAGAGACAAGACUGCUUUCUACUGCCCGACACCUUCCUCAGCAGGUUGCUCGCCCUGCAGUCUGAAUCCAGCCUGGCCUUUUGGGAAUCAGUGGGAAUUGUCCAAGAGCGGGACCGGAUCUACUAUACAGCGACCAAAGAUUCAUGCAUCUUGUGUGGACCUAAUGAGCCAGUGGUGAGGAGCAGUGGGCCUCUCAGCAGACAGGCUGGAAUGUGGACCAUAUGUAGCAGGCAUCCCAGGAAUGUAACUUGGCCUUGCUAAACUGACCAACCUAAAGAUCCUCAGAGCCAAGCCGGACAAGGAGGAGAAACAGUUAUAGGGUGAAGGUAACGUCAAAAAAAGGUGUUUAAAAAUGGAUCACGGGGCUCAAGGAGUGGAGAGACUAACACAGUGGUAGCCAAAAUUUGAAGAAGAGGAGAAAUGUACUACGUCUAUGAUGACAAAAUUCUUAACGUCAGAAUAAACCACUAAUGCUCAGUGCUGUGGUUGUUUUCAGUAGUGUAGAACUGCACUAUAUUUGCUUAUUCUGUGAGAGGUACAAUACUAGAAAACAUGUGAGUAUGAUGUAGUGCAGUUCUACACCACAAUAAUUAACAUAAUGUUAAAGUAAUCCCUCUUUGAUAGUGGCAGUCUUAACUGAUUGGUGUUAUCUUAGUCGAGGCAGAAUGUAUGAUCUUGCAGCUACCUCUGGUUUUGCAUCUCAUGUGUACAAUAUGUUGUGGCUGUUGAUUGUAUUUCAGAGCUCCAUGAGCAUAUAGCAUGAUGGGUGAUGCAACCGUGAUAAAAUGACCAUUCAUUUAUUUCACAGCCCUUAUUUUUCAUGUGUUACCAGAGAUUCAUUAAUCAACAGAAAAUGAUUGUUUUUAAAGAUGAAUCUUGGUCACACAAGUCAUUGUAUCCGAUGGCCACCUGUAACAGAGUUUUAUGUUCAUUUUUUUCCCCGUUUAUCCCAGAUAUACAUUGAAUGAACCCAGUGCUUCUGAACUAGUGGGCCCCCCGUUGGGGGGUGCGGUGAGAUGUCGGGGGCCGUGGGUAAACCUAUCUUGGAAAUCGUUUUAAGUUGUUGUAGAUGUUAUCUGAACUCAUUUUAUUGCAGAAUGCUGCCAGCUACUCAUACUGUAGUUUGUACAGCUAAAUAAAUAUUAACAGGUGCUCAAUAGUAUUUCAAUUCGUUUGGGGGGGGGUUCUGUUCCCCCAUGGGGGACACGACAGAAAAUCAUUGAGAACCUGAAAAAACCUGUUGCAGAGUGAAACCCCCUGAGUCAUAGUACUGUCAUUAAAUGCAGGUCAGAUUUAGUGAGUAAUAUUUUAACAGGUGAAUCAAUACGUAUCCAAUCACUCCUUAUCUGUAGCUUAAAGGGAUAGUUUGGAUUUUUGGACAUGAAGUUGUAUGACAUCCCCAUCAGCAUUGUAGUCCAUUAACAGCGACUUGCACCCGCAUUUAGUGUCUUAAGUCCAAUUCUGGUCAGAUUUCUGUGAUGAAGAACGUGGUUCCGCUUAGUUGCUGGGGAGAAUUAAGUAAAGAGUUUGGCUUCUCAAAACAAUAUGCGUUCAUAAGAGUAAUACAUUUGCAUCACAAAAAUCCCUUCUCAAGAAAAUCAAACCUUACAAAACUGCGUUAUAUUUGUCUCCCGCUGUAUCCCUGCGCCUGUGUGUUGAUGUGUAUGUGACGAAGACACUCGCAUCUUAUAAGAUAUAAUAAUAUAUAUAAGAAGAUAUAACGCAGAGUGUUUUGUGAGGUCUGAUUUUGAAUGCAUUUUUGUGAUGCAAAUGUCUUUUCUCUUUUGACUUUUUUGAACGCAUAUUGUUUUGAGAAGCCACACUCUUUACUUAAAUGUCCCCAGCAACU